GGGUUUUUGCAGAGUCCAGCAGACAGAGAGGAAUCAAAGCAAGGUGGCAGAAAUACUCCUUCCAGGUCUCUGGAAGGAAUCCCACACUACAGUCAUUUCAAUCUCAGUAGCAACAACAGUGAUAUUGUGUCUGACGGGUUUUAUUUUGUAUUGGUAUUUCUGCAAGAAACGCUCCAGUUCUGAGAGAGGGACGAAACUACAGAUGACCAUCAACUCGGACCAAAUCAAAGAAAGUGACUCUCCUGACUCCUUAAUCCAGCAAAGCAUAACGGACAACAAACUAAACAGCAUGAAUGAACAAAAAGAAACAAACGAUCCUAACCUGAAAUUCUUAACAAGUCAAGUUACUGGAAAACCUAAAACAUGUCCUUCAUUUUCCUGAAAGAGUGGCUUGAACAAGCACAUUGAAACACUAGCAGAGCAGAUGUCUUCAGUUCAUCAGCUCUUCUGGUGCUGCUGUGACCCAAUCUGUAAAAAUCUGUGUGCCAGAAAAAUUCAACCAAAACUUGAAGACAUCUGACAAAUAUGUUUCCAAAUAAUCUUAACAAAGGCGCAUGUUUAAUUUUUAACCUAAAGAAAACAAACAGCUUCAAUCAUGAAUUAACUCAUAAUUAAUUUUUUUUUUGAACACAAUUCUUUAAAACCAUUAAGAAACAUGAUUCUGUUCAAUAAUCAGAGCUGAUGACUGUGUGCAAAUAUAUGUCAGCCAAAUCCAGGUGAAGGUGUUGAUUUUUACAGGAACGGUUUCAGAAGGUUUAAGACAGAAUAUGUUGCACAGCUUACUGAGCAAAGCAAACCUUUUAGAGAAGUUAGAGGAAUAUAAUGCCAGAUAUUAAGCAUUUAAAUGUAUUUUCAGUUACUUUUUCAAUAAGUUUACCAGUUUUAAUAAGCACAGACAAAGUUGUGGUCACUGUGUCAUGAACACUUUUAGCACCUCUACUGUAUUAAAGGCCAUUUUAGUUUUUGAAGUUCAGUAAAUAUAAAUCCUGUUGAAUGUUGUAACAUAAACCUAACAGAGCCAUCACUCCUACCUAAAUAUAUUCUUAGCUUAAAACAAAAAAAAAAAACAUUAAUGACCUGCUGUACAUCAGGCUCUGGACGUUUUUAGCUCUCGCCAGCGAGCGUCUGAGUGCGGACUGUCUGAA